rnacentral:rRNA from 1 species
GACGAACGCUGGCGGCGUGCCUAAUACAUGCAAGUAGAACGCUGAAGGAGGAGCUUGCUUCUCCGGAUGAGUUGCGAACGGGUGAGUAACGCGUAGGUAACCUGCCUGGUAGCGGGGGAUAACUAUUGGAAACGAUAGCUAAUACCGCAUAAUAGCAGUUAUUGCAUGAUAACUGUUUGAAAGGUGCAAUUGCACCACUACCAGAUGGACCUGCGUUGUAUUAGCUAGUUGGUGGGGUAACGGCUCACCAAGGCGACGAUACAUAGCCGACCUGAGAGGGUGAUCGGCCACACUGGGACUGAGACACGGCCCAGACUCCUACGGGAGGCAGCAGUAGGGAAUCUUCGGCAAUGGACGGAAGUCUGACCGAGCAACGCCGCGUGAGUGAAGAAGGUUUUCGGAUCGUAAAGCUCUGUUGUAAGAGAAGAACGAGUGUGAGAGUGGA